rnacentral:rRNA from 1 species
AACGUAGGAGGCAAGCGUUAUCCGGAUUCACUGGGCGUAAAGCGCGUGCAGGCGGUUCGGUAAGUUGGGCGUGAAAUCUCCGUGGCUCAACUGGGAGAGGUCGUUCAAUACUACCGGGCUAGAGAGUGGUAGAGGAAGAUGGAAUUCCCGGUGUAGUGGUGAAAUGCGUAGAUAUCGGGAGGAACACCAGUGGCGAAGGCGAUCUUCUGGACCAUUUCUGACUGCUCAGACGCGACGCUAGGGUAGCAAACGGG